rnacentral:rRNA from 1 species
AUGAACGCUAGCUACAGGCUUAACACAUGCAAGUCGAGGGGCAGCAUGGUCUUAGCUUGCUAAGGCCGAUGGCGACCGGCGCACGGGUGAGUAACACGUAUCCAACCUGCCGUCUACUCUUGGACAGCCUUCUGAAAGGAAGAUUAAUACAAGAUGGCAUCAUGAGUCCGCAUGUUCACAUGAUUAAAGGUAUUCCGGUAGACGAUGGGGAUGCGUUCCAUUAGAUAGUAGGCGGGGUAACGGCCCACCUAGUCUUCGAUGGAUAGGGGUUCUGAGAGGAAGGUCCCCCACAUUGGAACUGAGACACGGUCCAAACUCCUACGGGAGGCAGCAGUGAGGAAUAUUGGUCAAUGGGCGAGAGCCUGAACCAGCCAAGUAGCGUGAAGGAUGACUGCCCUAUGGGUUGUAAACUUCUUUUAUAAAGGAAUAAAGUCGGGUAUGCAUACCCGUUUGCAUGUACUUUAUGAAUAAGGAUCGGCUAACUCCGUGCCAGCAGCCGCGGUAAUACGGAGGAUCCGAGCGUUAUCCGGAUUUAUUGGGUUUAAAGGGAGCGUAGAUGGAUGUUUAAGUCAGUUGUGAAAGUUUGCGGCUCAACCGUAAAAUUGCAGUUGAUACUGGAUAUCUUGAGUGCAGUUGAGGCAGGCGGAAUUCGUGGUGUAGCGGUGAAAUGCUUAGAUAUCACGAAGAACUCCGAUUGCGAAGGCAGCUCACUGGAGCGCAACUGACGCUGAAGCUCGAAAGUGCGGGUAUCGAACAGGAUUAGAUACCCUGGUAGUCCACAGGGUAAACGAUGAAUACUCGCUGUUUGCGAUAUACAGCAAGCGGCCAAGCGAAAGCGUUAAGUAUUCCACCUGGGGAGUACGCCGGCAACGGUGAAACUCAAAGGAAUUGACGGGGGCCCGCACAAGCGGAGGAACAUGUGGUUUAAUUCGAUGAUACGCGAGGAACCUUACCCGGGCUUAAAUUGCAGAUGAAUUACGGUGAAAGCCGUAAGCCGCAAGGCAUCUGUGAAGGUGCUGCAUGGUUGUCGUCAGCUCGUGCCGUGAGGUGUCGGCUUAAGUGCCAUAACGAGCGCAACCCUUGUUGUCAGUUACUAACAGGUUCCGCUGAGGACUCUGACAAGACUGCCAUCGUAAGAUGUGAGGAAGGUGGGGAUGACGUCAAAUCAGCACGGCCCUUACGUCCGGGGCUACACACGUGUUACAAUGGGGGGUACAGAGGGCCGCUACCACGCGAGUGGAUGCCAAUCCCAAAAACCUCUCUCAGUUCGGACUGGAGUCUGCAACCCGACUCCACGAAGCUGGAUUCGCUAGUAAUCGCGCAUCAGCCACGGCGCGGUGAAUACGUUCCCGGGCCUUGUACACACCGCCCGUCAAGCCAUGGGAGCCGGGGGUACCUGAAGUGCGUAACCGCGAGGAGCGCCCUAGGGUAAAACUGGUGACUGGGGCU